rnacentral:siRNA from 1 species
UUAACAACAAUUGCCAUAUUUGG